rnacentral:rRNA from 1 species
GACGAACGCUGGCGGCGUGCUUAACAUAUGCAAGUCGAACGAUGAAGCUGGAGCUUGCUCCGGUGGAUUAGUAGCGAACGGGUGAGUAACACGUGAGCAAUCUGCCCUUGACUCUGGGAUAACUGCGGGAAACUGUAGCUAAUACCGGAUAUGAGGCUCGAAGGCAUCUUCGGGUCUGGAAAGAAUUUCGGUCAAGGAUGAGCUCGCGGCCUAUCAGCUUGUUGGUGAGGUAAUGGCUCACCAAGGCGACGACGGGUAGCCGGCCUGAGAGGGUGACCGGCCACACUGGGACUGAGACACGGCCCAGACUCCUACGGGAGGCAGCAGUGGGGAAUAUUGCACAAUGGGCGAAAGCCUGAUGCAGCAACGCCGCGUGAGGGAUGAAGGCCUUCGGGUUGUAAACCUCUUUUAGCAGGGAAGAAGCGAAAGUGACGGUACCUGCAGAAAAAGCACCGGCUAACUACGUGCCAGCCGCCGCAGUAA